rnacentral:rRNA from 1 species
ACGAUGAUGACGGUACCCGUAGAAUAAGCCCCGGCUAACUUCGUGCCAGCAGCCGCGGUGAUACGAAGGGUGCAAGCGUUGUUCGGUUUUACUGGGCGUAAAGCGUGCGUAGGCGGACAUACAAGUCAGGCGUGAAAGCCCGGGGCUCAACCCCGGAAGUGCGUUUGAAACUGUAUGCCUUGAGGAUGAUAGAGGAUAACGGAACUCCGAGUGUAGAGGUGGAAUUCGUAGAUAUUCGGAAGAACAUCAGUGGCGAAAGCGGUUAUCUGGGUCAUAUCUGACGCUGAGGUACGAAAGUGUGGGGAGCAAACAGGAUUAGAUACCCUGGUAGUCCACACCGUAAACUAUGUGUGCUAAUUGUUGGAAACCUUCGGGAUUUCAGUGAUUAAGCUAACGCGUUAAGCACACCGCCUGGGGAGUACGGUCGCAAGAUUAAAACUUAAAGGAAUUGACGGGGACCCGCACAAGUAGUGGAGUAUGUUGUUUAAUUCGAUGAUACGCGAAAAACCUUACCGAUUUUUGACAUGUCCGUCGCGACUUCCAGAAAUGGUCGUCUUCACCUCGGGUGGACGGAACACAGAUGCUGCAUGGCUGUCGUCAGCUCGUGUCGUGAGAUGUUGGGUUAAGUCCCGCAACGAGCGCAACCCUCAUUGUUAGUUGCCAUCAUUCAGUUGGGAACUCUAACAAAACUGCCGGUGAUAAGCUGGAGGAAGGCGGGGAUGACGUCAAGUCAGCAU